rnacentral:misc_RNA from 1 species
AACGCAAAUUGCACUCUCUUUCGGGAGAGUAUGCCUGUUUGAGGGUCAGCCUAAAUAAAAUCGGCUUCGUUGCUGUUUUCGCGGUAACGUUUGUCGGAAUAUGGGUUAUCUUAAACUUUUUGGUUUAAGUGACUUAAAAUUUUAUUUUACGAUUUCACGAACGUUUCUAAGAUAUAAUCUUUUACGUUCGAGGUAUCGAACACUUAUUAGACGUGACCGUCACAUCGGAUCUCGUCCAUAAUUUUUUCUUUUACUGACCUCAGACAGGUAAGAGUACCCGCUGAACUUAA